rnacentral:rRNA from 1 species
UGGGGAAUAUUGGACAAUGGGCGCAAGCCUGAUCCAGCAAUGCCGCGUGUGUGAAGAAGGCCUGCGGGUUGUAAAGCACUUUCAGUGGGGAAGAAACGCCUUGGGUUAAUACCCCAGGGGUUUGACGUUACUCACAGAAGAAGCACCGGCUAACUCCGUGCCAGCAGCCGCGGUAAUACGGAGGGUGCAAGCGUUAAUCGGAAUCACUGGGCGUAAAGCGCACGUAGGCGGCGCGAUCAGUCAGUUGUGAAAGCCCCGGGCUCAACCUGGGAACGGCAAUUGAUACUAUCGAGCUCGAGUCUGAGAGGGGGGUGGAAUUCCAGGUGUAGCGGUGAAAUGCGUAGAUAUCUGGAGGAACAUCAGUGGCGAAGGCGGCCCCCUGGCUCAAGACUGACGCUGAGGUGCGAAAGCGUGGGGAGCAAACA